GUUGCAAAAAGUUUGCAGACGUGUACCAAUGACAGGCGAGGUAACGCCAGGAGUUAGGAAACUUUCGUUCGACCAAUGAGAGCAGUUCUUACAUCGCUGACGAAACUUUCCCAGCGUUCCCACAAUCCCUAGCGGUGGUUUGUAGCAAGUGCAGCGAAAUAUCCGACAACCUGGGUUGGAUAUGGCACUUUCAAGAAGAUGAGAAUCAACCAACGGAACUUCUUGAAUGAUUCUAUUCAAUUCUACGAAUAAAACACAGACUUUUGGUGAUUGAGAUUACAAUAUUAAGUGAAACCUAAAGUUGUAAUUUUUGAAAAAUAUCAGCAGAACUGAUAAACUGCAAGUAUGGAGGUCAGUGGAUGUCAACAGUGUACAGUCAUGCGGCAGAGACACCAUUUUGGAAUUCUACUCCUGGCUAUAUCCUGUCUUCUUGUACCAAGAGCUCUAGCAGCCCAUGAGUCCGUGUGUAGACAGGGGAUGGAGUACCAACAGUCGACCCCCUCAGCAGGGGUGGAUGCUGGGACCUUCAACAACGUGGGGGCUGUGUCGUCCAUGGACGAGUGUGCACAGAUGUGCUGUGACCACAAGAACUUUCUACUCUAACUACCAGUUUCUACUCUUUCCAGCCGCCUCUGA